rnacentral:rRNA from 1 species
UCUGAAUCUGCGAACGGCUCCGCAAACCAGUUGUAAACUAUAGCAAGCAGGCUCGGGGUCGGCUCUCACGGGUUGGCUUCGGGCGAUAUGGAUAACCCUGGUAAUUCUGAGGCUAAUACAUGAACGUAAAACCUGGUUGACUGGGCUUCGGUCUGGGAGGCUGGGGGAUGUGUGAUUGCAGGCUUGGGUAACACCGGGAAAGGGCGCACGUCCAGACCGCGCUAUAAAGGAUGGGACCUCUUCGGGGGACCCGCCCCAGCGGCUCUUGCUGUGUGCUUCUGACCUAUCAACUAGACGGCAGCGUAAGGGACAUGCUAUGGU